GGGCACAACACUAACCAAUUUCACUUAGCGCAGCGUGUGAUUUAGGGGCAUCAAUAAUAUUUGCUUUAACUGUAAAAUAUAAUAUAAUAAAUACGUAUUUGGAAAUGGUUCAAGCUGCUGUAGUCACAAAGUAUUCUUUGGUACCAAAGAAUUAGUCGAAUUGCGGUACUAGCUACCGAAAUACCAAAGGAGGUCAACAUCUGAAGCCAUUUAGUUAAUUAUGCAAGCUGCUUCCAGUAAACAUGUCAAUUGUAGAAUAUUUGAACAGAAGUCGGAUGGCUGGAUGGUCACCAUUCUAUGCAGUUGGACCAAACGCUUCAGAAGUAAAUAACUAAAUAGUUAUUCCCCACAGGGACUUAAGGCAAUGCGAAGAUCAAGCAUUUUGCCACAGAAAUUAGUUUUGUAUCCAACACCAGAAUUAAGUCAUAGGACACUGUGUUUCUAGCAGCCAAGUGGAAAGGUCGGAUUAAUGCAUGCAUGUACUCGAUUCCGCAUGGCCCGUUGCCCCUCGUGACGCAGCUACCCAUGGCCAAUUCAAUUAACCAGGCAGCAACUGGUGGCGUUCCUAAGUUCCAUAACCAUCCAUUGCAAACGACAGCUGCUCCAGACACGUCUCCCACCGUCCCCAUCCGGUUCCCCACCAGCCGGAAAUCCACCUCCAAAUGCGUACAACUUUGCCCAGGAGAACGGGAGUGGUGAAUGGUUAAUUUGGUUUGCGAAGGAUCUAAGAACCAUGGACCCUUAAAUGGCCCCUUGCAUAUGUGUACAUGUCUUCGCCAUGACUGGCAGUAGAUUUUAUCAAUUAACUGCAGAAAAGCUGGUAUUUCAUCAAGUCACACAAUGGUUCGUGGUUUUCGAUGAAUAUUCCAACCACCAGUGUCAUCCCACAACUUAGCUUCCUUCUGGGCUGCUCAUAUACUCGUAUGGAGUAUUUAUUGUUCGGUUCGGCUCAAUAAAUAUUAGCAACCUA